CAGCAGCCGCGGGAAUACGGAGGGUGCAAGCGUUAAUCGGAAUUACUGGGCGUAAAGCGCACGCAGGCGGUUUGUUAAGUCAGAUGUGAAAUCCCCGAGCUUAACUUGGGAACUGCAUUUGAAACUGGCAAGCUAGAGUCUUGUAGAGGGGGGUAGAAUUCCAGGUGCAGCGGUGAAAUGCGUAGAGAUCUGGAGGAAUACCGGUGGCGAAGGCGGCCCCCUGGACAAAGACUGACGCUCAGGUGCGAAAGCGUGGGGAGCAAACGGGAUUAGAUACCCGUGUAGUCCCUGUCUCUUAUAC
rnacentral:rRNA from 1 species